rnacentral:rRNA from 1 species
UACGUAGGGAGCAAGCGUUGUCCGGAAUCAUUGGGCGUAAAGCGCGCGUAGGUGGCCCUGUAAGUCCGUUGUGAAAGUCAAAGGCUCAACCUUUGAAAGCCGAUGGAUACUGCAGGACUAGAGUACGGAAGAGGCGAGUGGAAUUCCUGGUGUAGCGGUGGAAUGCGCAGAUAUCAGGAGGAACACCAAUAGCGAAGGCAGCUCGCUGGGACGUUACUGACGCUGGAGACGCGAAAGCGUGGGGAGCAAACAGG